rnacentral:lncRNA from 1 species
GGAAGGCAAGAAGCGACAUCGCUAUGAGGCGGUGACUUUAGAAAUCACUGUACUGACUUUUAAUCACCGCCCUGGUCGCAAGCUAAGUUUUAAGUGUUUUCUGGUUGAUCCAGUACGUUAUUACUUAUCCAAUUUACCGUAGAUCGCUUGUCAUCACACUCCCGGAACAAAAGAUGUGAAGUCUCUUUUACCAACGCCUUAUCUUGCUCCCUUUGGCCCAGGAGAUAAAAUACAGAUUAAUCAGUGGGCUAGCUAGCCCUGGAGGCUCUCUGUGAUGCGACCACAUCCUGAGGUUUUUACAUGACUCAAACCCACAAAACACCCUUCCUGCCCCAUCUCAUCUCCAAUACCCUUUACAAUCCCUGUACCAUUCAUUCCUCCUUGGUUAUCAGAACAGUCUGACCCUUUUCCUGCUUGUGGCAGACCACGUUCCCACUCCAACAUUUGACACGAGAGUAAUGAUAGCUGACACAAAAAGCCCAGGGGUCAGAAGAGACCCAAACUAUCAAGAAAUUUUCAUUAUAGACCCACUGACAGAUACCAAGCGCAGAAGAACAAGGAUGUUUAUGCUAAAUAUCCUAUUCCCUGGGAGAAAAUUAUCAAAAGAGAUGUCCUCAGUUGGUGGGAUCCUUUGGGAAAGAUCAGAACAUGUGGCCUUGUUGAAGCAGGCCUGUCACUGCGGGCAGCUUUGAGGUUUCAGAAGACGUUUGCCUGUUCCCACUGUGCUCUCCGCCUCCUGCCUACUGUUUGAGAUGUGAACUCUCAACCUCUGCUGCUGUGUCUUCACUCUGCCGCUGUGGACUCCAACUCUCUGAAAAUGGAUUCAAGCAGGCAGCCAAGCAUGGCAUUGUUCACAUGGUCCCACUGUGCUCUCUGCCUCCUGCUUGCUGUGUGAGAUGUGAGCCCUCACCUGUUUCUGCCAGCGUGCCUUUGUCCUGCCAUCAUGGAGUAUAGGUUUCUGAAACCAAAA